UUCUCCAUAGCAAAGAGCCCCUCACUAAACAACAAAUUGACAAUUUUGUAGAAGAUACAUUGAAGAACUUUAUGAUAACUUUGGGAAGAGAAUGAGACAUGGAAAUGUUCCCGUAUCAGUGAUCACGUUUUUGUUUUUACAGGUAGGUUGCUAGGUUACCAGGUUGCCGGUUUUUAGAUGUGGAUCUUCUUCGACUAAGUUAGAGGUUGUUUACAAGCUCAAAUCCUACUGAAGUUUGAUGUUGCAGGAUUCAGGACAAAGCAGUUUAGUUUGGAUGAAUAUCAGUGAAUUAUGACUUGUGUUUUGUUGACAUUUAGUGAAUUAUGACUUGUGUU
rnacentral:lncRNA from 1 species